GCGACGUUAGCUCAGUUGGUUAGAGCACUGGUUUGUGGUUCCAGGGGUCGUCGGUUCGAAUCCGAUACGUCGCC
rnacentral:tRNA from 1 species